CAGUAGAAAGUGCUAACUAACGGGGAAU
rnacentral:piRNA from 1 species